rnacentral:rRNA from 1 species
AAGGGGGCAACUCCUUCCGUCGAGUGGCGGACGGGUGAGUAACACGUGGGUAACCUGCCCGGAAGUGGGGAAUACCUCGGGGAAACUCGAGCUAAUACCGCAUGACAUCUCCGGGACAAAAGUCCUGGCGAUCAAAGCGGGGUCGCAAGACCUCGCGCUACCGGAUGGGCCCGCGCCCGAUUAGCUAGUUGGCGAGGUAAUGGCUCACCAAGGCUUCGAUCGGUAACCGGCCUGAGAGGGCGAUCGGUCACACCGGAACUGAGACACGGUCCGGACUCCUACGGGAGGCAGCAGUGGGGAAUCUUGCGCAAUGGGCGAAAGCCUGACGCAGCAACGCCGCGUGGAGGAUGAAGGCCCUUGGG